rnacentral:misc_RNA from 1 species
CUGUACUCUACAUCUUCGCUUCACUCGAUCGUCUUCUCUCUCGUUGAUCUCUUUCGAUUCUUCAAUUUUAAAUCCGUAUAAUCAUGGGGUUGAAGGGUUUUGUUGAAGGUGGUAUUGCCUCCAUCGUCGCCGGAGCCUCCACCCACCCUCUUGACCUCAUCAAGGUCCGCAUGCAACUUCAAGGUGAAUCCCACCUCCCUAAUCCAGCUUCCCUUCAAGCCUUCCGCCCUGCGAUCGCCUUCAACACGGUUGCUGCAGGUGCCGGCAACAUUUCCCUACCUGUAGAAGUUCCUCCUCCGCCAGCUCGUGUUGGACCCCUUUCUAUCGGUGUCCGUAUCAUCCAAUCUGAAGGCGUGGCCGCCCUUUUCUCUGGUGUAUCCGCCACUAUUCUCCGCCAGACCUUGUACUCCACCACCCGUAUGGGCCUUUAUGAUAUUCUCAAACACAAGUGGACAGACCAAGAUACCGGAAGUAUGCCACUUCCACGGAAGAUUCUUGCUGGCCUUAUCUCCGGCGGUGUUGGAGCUGCCGUCGGGAACCCAGCUGACGUGGCUAUGGUCCGCAUGCAGGCUGAUGGACGUCUCCCAAUUGACCAACGUCGCAACUACAAGAGUGUGUUCGAUGCUUUAACUCAAAUGUCAAAGCAAGAAGGAAUUGCUAGCCUCUGGCGUGGCUCAGGUCUGACAGUGAACCGUGCAAUGAUUGUCACUGCAUCACAGCUCGCAACCUAUGAUCAGAUCAAGGAGAUGAUAUUGGAAAAGGGUGUGAUGAGUGAUGGAAUAGGGACCCAUGUGACGGCGAGCUUCGCUGCUGGGUUUGUGGCAUCGGUGGCUUCAAACCCUAUAGAUGUGAUAAAGACUAGGGUUAUGAACAUGAAGGUGGAGACAGGAGCAGAGCCGCCGUACAAGGGUGCAUUAGAUUGUGCAAUGAAGACAGUGAAGGCUGAGGGUCCUAUGGCUUUGUAUAAGGGAUUUAUACCUACAAUCUCAAGGCAAGGACCUUUCACAGUAGUGCUCUUUGUCACGCUAGAGCAGGUCAGGAAGCUACUCAAAGAUUUCUAAUUCAUGUGAUGAUGAGGGAAAACACCAUAUAUAGCUAGCUAGCUGUGAAUUUCAGCUUCAUUAUUGGGAGAAUUAUUCUUUAUUCUUUUUGUAGGCAUGGCCGCUACUAUAAUUUUUUGGGAUAAAAGACGAAUUAAUUUAUAUCAAAAAUCAACUUUCUUUAAUACAAUAAAUUAUAGUAGCGGCCAUGCCUACAAAA